GGCGGAUUAGCUCAGGAGGUCAGAGCAUGCGGCUCAUAUCCGCAGUGUCCGGGGUUCGAGUCCCUGAUCCGCCA
rnacentral:tRNA from 1 species